UAAACGGGAUGCUAUGUCUGCAGCCGAGCGGUAGAGUCUCUUCGGAGACUUGAGAGCGGCGCACGGGUGCGGAACACGUGUGCAACCUGCCUUUAUCUGGGGGAUAGCCUUUCGAAAGGGACAUUAAUACCCCAUAAUAUAUUGAGUGGCAUCACUUGAUAUUGAAAACUCCGGUGGAUAGAGAUGGGCACGCGCAAGAUUAGAUAGUUGGUGAGGUAACGGCUCACCAAGUCAGCGAUCUUUAGGGGGCCUGAGAGGGUGAUCCCCCACACUGGUACUGAGACACGGACCACACUCCUACGGGAGGCAGCAAUGAGGAAUAUUGGACAAUGGGUGAGAGCCUGAUCCAGCCAUCCCGCGUGAAGGACGACGGCCCUAUGGGUUGUAAACUUCUUUUGUAUAGGGAUAAACCUAAAAACGUGUAUCUAGCUGAAGGUACUAUACGAAUAAUCACCGGCUAACUCCGUGCCAGCAGCCGCGGUAAUACGGAGGGUGCAAGCGUUAUCCGGAUUUAUUGGGUUUAAAGGGUCCGUAGGCUGAUUUGUAAGUCAGUGGUGAAAUCUCACAGCUUAACUGUGAAACUGCCAUUGAUACUGCAAGUCUUGAGUGUUGUUGAAGUAGCUGGAAUAAGUAGUGUAGCGGUGAAAUGCAUAGAUAUUACGUAGAACACCAAUUGCGAAGGCAGG
rnacentral:rRNA from 1 species